AAUUUUCUUCAGUUUCCUUCUCUUCUGAUGUACCGUACUUCGUAGUCUGCUAUUCUUUUCUCUCUCUCUUUCACCCCUUCUCCUUUGCAAAUCCUUCUUCAAUUGAUUGUUAUGUUCAUCUAAUUAUAUGAAAUCGAGUUUUGAUCCCUUCUUCUCUUCCUUAGGUUGAAUUUAGGGUUUUCUUUUUUCCCAAAAAAAAAAAAUUAAAGGAGAAGGAACUGAAAACAAACGUGGGGGGAUUUCUUAAUUUUUCUUGGUUAAUUUUUUUUUGUUGUUUUUUGUUUUUUUUUUUUUUUUUUGGUAAAAUUACAAAGUCAUCUGAUCGAAGGGCCAUAAUUAAUCAGAUACAAAUGAACGGCUGAGAUUUCAUCAAUUGCAGUGGCUACCAUUUUGUUGUCGCCAUUCAAAAGUCUUCCAUCUUGCCUUGAAUAAUUAAAGUUUGGAUUUUAUGUUAUGGGUUUGUUUGGUUUUGAUUGAAUUUUAAAUCUGGGUUUUGGAAGAAUUUCUCAUAUUAAUAAAAAUUAGAGUAACCAUUAAAACCUAAGGUCUGUGUUCGUCAUUCCCUUCCAAUUCACAAAAAACAAUUCGAAUAACACCAUACAUACAAAACCAAUAUUUUCAUGAACAACAAAAACAAAUUAUCAAAAAAGCGCAGUUGAUAAUCAAUAUCAUCAAAACCCUAAACCCUAACUAAACCCGCCAAAAAAAAAAAAAAAUUACAAUUUUCUCAAGAAAACAACUCGAAUACAUAAGAAACGAAAGCACCUUGCAAAAUUACUGAGAAUCGGGUUGAAAUUAUGAAGAAUUGCCUUCGCUUCCUUAGCCAAACUGGAGGAACGCUUCUAGAAUAGGGAAUCAAGUUCAAUAAGAGAAAAUAGCACCCUUUCCCAUGCCAUGUUAGCUAAGUAAUAAUGUGUUUAUGUCAGUUAACCAAGGUCUAACUCACCUUGAGUUAAUUGAUGUUAAUUAUCACCGGAAAGUAAAUGUUAGGUCCUUAAUUGUGAAAAAAAAAGUGAAAGGUCCUUAACGGUGAAAAUGUUAAAAGUGAGGUUCUUCUUUUAUGCUUAACUUAUAUUGUUUCAUUUAUUUUGAUAUUAUUUGCAGAUUUAAAAUUUGUGUUUAUGAUAUGUUCUGUCCAUUUUAACCAUUUAUAUUAGACAUAAGUGAUAUAAGUGAUUGAAACUACCCAUUGAGAAACGUUGUAAACUUGUAACCCAUAUAAAUCACAUUAUUAACAAUUUAGCACGGUCACACGUUUUAAUAUUUUUAAAAAUAAAAACUCAAGCAUGAUUUUACUGGAAAACAAAGCACUAAGUAAGGGGAAAAAAAAGAAAAAAAAAUACACGGAUUAACAAAAAAGAAAAAAAAAAAAAAACCAAACAAAUACGUAGUACAUAAUCCAGAAAAAAGAUUCUUUCAAAAAAAAAAAAAAAAAAAACAAUUUCUCCAGAAAAAAGAAGAAAUUGAUAUGCAAGGAGGCAAGGACUGCGACUAUAAUUUUGAUCCUGAUGCAAACAUCGUCCCUCUCUUAGUUGAUGAGCUUCGGAAACAGUUCGAGGCUACACAAAAAUCUGGUAUUUUUUUAUCGAAUCCUUUCGAUAUGAAAUAGGUUUUUUUCAAAUGUUAGUAUCUUAAGUAGAAAUUUUCUGGGUCGUUGUAAAAUGUCAGAUUUCACUCUAAAUGAACUUUAUUUUGCUCAAAGAUUACUGGGUUUUGCAUAUGAUUUUACUUUGUUGGAACAUAUAAAGGUUGGUUUUUGAGGUGAAAAGUAUGAUUUUGAUUGUUUGAUCUGUGUAUCAUUGGGUGAAUUGUUUGAUUUCCAUAAAUUGAUUUGCUGAAAUGUCUGAAAUUUAGCCUAACUACAUAAUGCACUUGAUUGAAAUGCUUAUUGCAGGCUGUUUUUUAAAGUGUAAAAUUGAUUGUGAAUUGUUUUGUUAUUAGUUAUUGAAGAGAGUAAAUAUACGGAAUUGAGGUUGAUAUUGUACAGAAUGCUGAAUUAGGGAAGGUAAUUGCUUCUUAUUUAAUGCUUUGACUGUCCGUGAAACAAAACUCAAAGUGAGUACCCCUGAUUGCUUGGUAUCGUAAAAUCAAGCUAAUAGCUAUUGACCUAUUGCAGAUACAAGUAUAUGAUGGUGAGGAUCUUGUUGGAUCAUCCUUGUCAUUUUCUGUUGAAAUUAUUCAUGAUAAGAUCGUUUGAUUUUAUGUCGUCUCAACUGCUAUAUACUAUACUUUGCUCUGUUAAAAUUGUGAUGCAUCUAUAUUUUUUCCUAUCUCAUGUCAUAAUAUCCUUACAGUAAAGACCAUUUAAUUACGAAAUUGGUUUCUAUGUUACAAACUUAGAAGUGUAGUGUUUCAUACUUUACUUUCUUACAAUUAAUGUUAUUUGUUCAUGCAGUUAAUGUUUGGGGAUAAUUUUGACAGCAUUAUGCUUUUAUUGAGUUUGUUGGAUAUUCUGCAUUAUUUGGUUAUUGGGAAGCGUAUGUUUACAUUUUUGGUGGGUUAUGUGAUCAUUUUCUGAUAAAUCUUAAGGGUGGGGAUUUGUUAAUUUAAUUGAGUAGGCCAUACUGCCAUACACCUAUUGUUGUUAACUCUCAAAUGUACCUUGAAGAUGUAAUUAAAGCUUACAAUUGCACACUUUUGCUGGAAGUGUUAUUGUGUUAGCCUUUAUAGAUUGAGCUCUUUUGUCUAUCAUAGUGCACUUCUGUAGACGUCAUUAACCUGAACUAGACUCUAGAUAGUCUGGAACUUUCUGCUAUUGUCCAAGCCUCCUGAUAAAUCAGAGCACUGGUUUCUGUCGCAAUAUAUGAAUUCCUAUUUGAUGUAGUGCCUUAGGAGAUAUGAGCAGAGAGACUUAGUGCUUUUAAGAGUCCAUUUUGUUUCUCUUUUCUGCUUAUCUAAUCUUUACUUGAUUUUAUUAAUACUUAGUCCUUUAAUUUAACUUCAAAAAAUAUUUAGUAGAUUCCAAAAUCAAUUGUGCUUUUAUUUAAUCACGAGCCAUCCUAUUCUAAUCUGCAUAUUGGAAGGAAUGCAAGAGUAAAGGUCGAUUAGGUGCAGCAUAUUUUAUAAUCUUAUUUUACUGUGCUUACUUCAAACAGUGAAUGUGGAUCAUUUGAUGCAGCCAUUACCAUAGGAAACACUAACAUCCAUAUUUAGUUUAUUUUAAUGUAGUUCAAGAACCGUUGCAGACCAAUCCAGAUCUAAAGGAGGGUUUUUGCUGAGCUUUUGUUGGAACAUAUAAAGGUUGGUUUUUGAGCACAUCGCAAGAAUGGAGCAGCAGUGAAAUCAAGGGCGGCGGCUCAACUAUCACAAGAAUGGGGAGAUAUACAGAAACCUCAGAACAACAACAAUAACAACUACCAUGGAUUUCCAGGUGGUUGUACUAGCUGGUGGCACUUCCAAAAACCUUGCCCCUCUUGUUUCCAAGGAGGUACCCAAAGCAUUGCUCCCAGUUGGGAAUCGCCCAGUAGUUUCUUAUGUAUUGGACCUUUUGGAACAAAGCAAUCUCAAGGAUAUUAUUGUGGUGGUUGGAGGCGCAGAUGCUGCUGUUAAAGUUGAUGGAUGGAUUUCGAGUGCGUAUGUUGAUCGUCUUCGUGUCGAGGUUCUGAUGAUGGUAAAUUGGGCGUGAAAAAUAGCUUCCUCAGCUUCAAUGAUGGUGGAGAGAGACUGUACUAACUACCAAGUGUUUUCACAAUCGUCAAAUCUAAGCUUCCUCAGUGCGACCUUCAAAAUUUUGAUUAUAAAAUUCUAAAACCCAAACUUUUCAAUUAUGAGAUUUUCAAUUUUUGAAUGAAUUCACCAAUGACGAUAAGUUCAGAAUCAAUACAAACAAUGAAAAUCAAUUGCAUCGAUGAAAACCGAAAAUUAGAUCAAAUUGAUUAAGGUUUCCUCAAUUUACCCCCUUUUCGAUUAAUGAUAUUAUGGAAACAAUUUAUUUAUUUGCAAUUGGCAGGAGUUUGUUGUAUAUAGGUAUUACAUUUUGACUUACACAUUAAUGAUUUUGUGAAUUCUAUGUUUUAUUCUUUCUUCUUAUGAAGUUAAAUUGGUUAGAUUUGGUUAAAUGUAAUUGCAAUUGGGAAAUGUUACAAUAAGAUAGUGAAAAGGUGUGAUUUUUUGUGGAUGUUUUGAGUUAAAGUAUGUUUGAAUCUUGUUUAAUGUAUAGUUCUCUCUAUAUAAAUGGUUUCUGUAUUAAUGUUCCAGGGUUAUUGAAAUCUGAAUCUGAGAUAGUAUGCUUUGCAAAAUGAAGUUGGAUUGAUGUUUUUCAAUAGUUGCAGAUGAGGUGAUAUAUUGGGUAUGGAUUCGGCCAAGAGUUGGUUUCAUAAGUUGCAGCCACGUGAUAAGUUGAGAUCUGCAUCCAAAAAAAAAAAGGAUUCCGGGAUUUUGGGUGGUAAGGAAGUGUCUGCCCCAACAUCAGAUGAUGAAACGCCGUCAAAUGUUACACAACAGAGGGUUGCGGCAGCAAAGCAAUAUAUUAGAAACACUAUAAGGAGCAAAUGAAGAAUUUGCAAGAAAGGAAGGAUUUGGAGUUUUGAUCUAUAUUCUUCAUCUCUUUUAUACUGUACUGUAUUGAGCAAAUUAACGAAAUAAACGAUUUAAAGAAUAUUUUUGAGUAAAAAGCUUUCAUUUUGCUGGGCCAAAAAUCCCAA